AAUAAAAAAUUAAAAAAAAAUUAAAUAUAAAAAGAGUAAUAAAUGAGUUAAAUGGAGUAGUAAGUAUAUUAUUUUUCAUGAUAAAUAUGAAGGCCAGUUCUUCUAUAUACCACCGGCUGAUGCAACCUUUGGUAACCGGAUGACGUGGCAUGUCGAUGUGUUAAAUAAAUAAAUAAAAAGAGAAAAGUAUACGAGAAACGGGAGGGAAGAAUUCAUUUCAAUGCAGCAAUAGAAAACGGGAAGCUGCUUUUCCUCACUGCGUCGUCGUCGUCUUUGGGUCUCCUGUGUGUGAAUCAUAGCUCUGUUUCCUUCCUCACUGCGUCGUCUCCGUGUGUGAAUCAUAGGGUACUAGUUUGGCCAGUUUUACGCUUUUUUUUUCUUUUUGUGGUCCAUCUCUGUUCGACCAGUUUGACAGAGAAGAAGGUAGAUCUCGUCGUGAGCGUGAAGAACUGGUAGAUCGAUCUUGUCGUUUUUGUAGCUUCGUGUUGUCUCUGUGGCUAGCUUCAGGGGAGGUUUAUCGUCUUCAGGAAGUUAUGGAUGGUCAAAUAUCAACCCAGUUUUUUAUUGCUAAUGUGCUUGCAUCUGCUGAAGGGGCUUCAUGUCUGAGAACAAUGCAUUUAUGGUGUUCUUUACUUCAAAGCUGCCAUUUUUUUUUUUUUUGGAAAUAAUGCUCCACUGGGUCUGUGAAGAAAAACUCGAUGUCGAUUUCGGGUCUGGAAGAAGGAGAGAUCGCCGCCAUUGUCGUCGUCUUCGUGUCUGGAAGAGAAAAACCUACUCGAUCUCAGUCUGGUUUCUUUAUGGUUUCUGCAAACUCAACCUUAUCCUUCUCAUUUUUUUUUGUUGGUUUUUUUUGCACAGUGCAUCCCAUCAAAACAGAACAAAAAUUUAGAAAAAUCAUGGAACAUUCUUUUUCCUUUUUUUGGGUAUUUUUGGUUAUGGGACUUUGAAAAGGACUGUCUAGUUUGAAGCAUGAUGGUAAUUUAGAUUUUGAUUUGUUGUGUGAAGAUUUCAUUAAGAUGGGUAUAUGAGCAAGGGGUUAGUGUUGCGAAAAGUUUCAACAAAUAGAGGAUGAAAGAAAACUUAGACAUAUUUGACUAGAAACUGAGACCGGAUGAGUUGCAGAAGAUAAGUGGAAUUCCACAGCGCAGAGGAGGUAUUGCAAGUGAAUUAAUCUCUGAUGAAGGCCCUUACAAGUCUCUUUCGGAGCUUUGGGGUCUGAAAGCAAGACUUGGGAGAGGCCUAGAAGCAAGAAAUCUUCUUAUUCAUUUUAUAAAUGUUAUCGACUAAAUCUUCUGUUUGAUGGUUUACCAAUUGUAUUCUAUUUCAGAAUAUCUUAUAUUUAAGUACGAAUUGUAUCUCCUUUAUUAUACUGGCUUUGUUAUAAGAUAUAGAACUAGUAAAAUCAAUUAGAAAAUACAUCAACAUGACUAUAUGGGAUGCUUGAAUUUUUCACAAUGAA